rnacentral:piRNA from 1 species
UAUUAUUACUCUGCAAUUUAUAGGAUGU